CGGCGCGCCGCUGCCCAGCUGGUGGCCGACCUGACCGAGAGGCACCUGCGGAGCCGGCAGCUCCGCGGACUUCGCUGGGAGGGACGGGUGCAGGAGUGGAGGAGCCUCAAGGUCAGAGCUGCGGUUGACAGGUUCAGGUAUGUCGGUGCGUUACGAGACAAGGCAACGCAACAGAGCGCGGCGUGGCGCAGCGUGGCGCAGCGUGGCGCAGCGUGGCACAGCAUGGCACAGCGUAGCACUGCAUAACACGCACCGUUUGUGUGUUGACCAGUAAAUCCACGUACCCCAGAAAAAAGGACUGACUCACGCAGCUCAGUAAACACCACGCGUGCUGGUUUUGGUUCCCCGAACAAAUACUUACAUGCACCAUAUUGUGUGUUAUACCGUGCGAUUAGGGAAUUCAUGGACAAGCUGCCCACGCAACACCUCUGCAAAGUGGAGGUGACGCUGAAGAGCUUGAGGAUGGCGCAGGAGUCCCUGGGGGAGGAGCGCAUGGCGGCCUUGCAGGCACUCAGGUGACGUCCAUGAGGUGUAUCCCAGAGGGCGGUGGCCCGGAGAGCGUUAACUACUGUCGCUUGUGCACAGCAGUACCGAUAGAACUUUUUCCGGUUCCUUCCUUCCCAGCUCCUUCACGCCCCCAACCUGCUCCGAGGCGCUGGUGGCCCAGUGGUGCUCCUCUCUGGCUGCAGUCGAUGAAAAGAUCGACUCUUUGCACAUGGACUCAGCGGGCAAACUGCGCUUGCAGUGCGAGAGCACGUGGCAGGACUGUCUGGCCGAGGUCGACAAGUUUAAGGAGGAAAGUGCAGCGCUGGGUCUCCCUCCGCCUGACGUUGACGGUGUUGUCAGUAAUGAGCUUCUGCACCUUGUUGGUUUCUACCAGAACCAGUCGGAACGGUGGCUGGAGGCCGUGGAUGUAAGAAUGAAUUUUUU
rnacentral:lncRNA from 1 species